CCUACGGGUGGCAGCAGUAGGGAAUCUUCCACAAUGGGCGAAAGCCUGAUGGAGCAACGCCGCGUGGGUGAAGAAGGUCUUCGGAUCGUAAAACCCUGUUGUUAGAGAAGAAAGUGCGUGAGAGUAACUGUUCACGUUUCGACGGUAUCUAACCAGAAAGCCACGGCUAACUACGUGCCAGCAGCCGCGGUAAUACGUAGGUGGCAAGCGGUCUCCGGAUUGUUGGGCGUAAAGGGAACGCAGGCGGUCUUUUAAGUCUGAUUUGAAAGACUUCGGCUUAACCGGAGUAGUGCAUUGGAAACUGGGAGACUUGAGUGCAGAAGAGGAGAGUGGAACUCCAUGUGUAGCGGUGAAAUGCGUAGAUAUAUGGAAGAACACCAGUGGCGAAAGCGGCUCUCUGGUCUGUAACUGACGCUGAGGUUCGAAAGCGUGGGUAGCAAACAGGAUUAGAUACCCGGGUAGUC
rnacentral:rRNA from 1 species